rnacentral:lncRNA from 1 species
AGAGGCUGCGCCAGGCGCAGAGGCGCGGGAAGCGCGGCAGUCCCCUUGCUCGCGCCCUGAGGCCGCCCCACAGCCUGCGCCCCCACCCGGCCCAACCGUCACUGUCCCGUCGGUCCGGCAGCCGAAACGUAGGCCAAAGGUGCAUGCGUCUGCCUCCCGCCUAGGCGCAGGCCGAGGCACCAGCGUCCCCCCUCACCGAGCCCGCGUCCCCGACUUCGGAGGGCAGUGUGCAGCGGGAAAGUCCACGGACUGAAGAGGUGUCCCAGGGCACUGCAAGUGCGCGUGCGCGUGGCCCCCGCACCGGCUGGAGCCCGGAACGGCCGUACCGCGCCCGCCUCUGGUUUACGUCUGUUCGCGGCACCAGGCAAGGGGAGGAGACUGAGCUGGCUUUUGAUUGGACAGCGGGAAGACAUGGGGCGGGAAGAAGCCCGGUGAUUGGUGGGGACAGCGCGUUCCUGGAUUUGAAGCGAGGAAGCCGCGCGCCCUGCGAGUCCGGAGGAGGAAAUGGAGCUCUGCGCUGCGUGGGACCCGGGGGACGGCUCCCGUUGGCGCCGCCUUCAAGGUAAGGGAUUAAGAGGCCGAGAGAGAUAUCGUCUGCGAGGGUGAGGAUACUGGAGGUUGGCAGUGUCAGCAUCGCAAGAGUGCUCUACCAGAGGAGGAGGAGGAGGAGGAAGGAGCUGGGCAUAACUGGACCAUCUCGAUCCAGCCCGUGGGGAAUCCAGAGGGGAUAACAAGAGGAUAUAACCACAGGACAAUUCAUUAGGCUGUGUUUUGACGUUUCCUGAAUUCUAUUCCAAAUUAUUCACAAAGGCAUAUUAAAAUAAUUUUAUCUUACAAAUUCACAUAUUUAAAAUUUGAACAUGGAAACAGACUCUAGAUGACAUCAAAUAUUCCUUAUUAUGAUAUACAAGAAUGUAACAUAUGCUAAAUAUUC